rnacentral:rRNA from 1 species
GACGAACGCUGGCGGCGUGCUUAACACAUGCAAGUCGAACGGAAAGGCCCUGCUUUUGUGGGGUGCUCGAGUGGCGAACGGGUGAGUAACACGUGAGUAACCUGCCCUUGACUUUGGGAUAACUUCAGGAAACUGGGGCUAAUACCGGCUAGGAGCUCCUGCUUCAUGGUGGGGGUUGGAAAGUUUCGGCGGUUGGGGAUGGACUCGCGGCUUAUCAGCUUGUUGGUGGGGUAGUGGCUUACCAAGGCUUUGACGGGUAGCCGGCCUGAGAGGGUGACCGGCCACAUUGGGACUGAGAUACGGCCCAGACUCCUACGGGAGGCAGCAGUGGGGAAGAGUGCACAAGGGGCGGAAGCCUGAUGCAGCAAAGCCGCGUGCGGGAUGACAGCCUUCGGGUUGUAAACCGCUGUCGCCUGUGACGAAGCGUGAGUGACGGUAAUGGGUAAAGAAGCACCGGCUAACUACGUG